AUACGUAGGGGGCGGGCGUUGUCCGGAAUGACUGGGCGUAAAGGGCGUGUAGGCGGCUGUCUAAGUCUGGAGUGAAAGUCCUGCUUUCAAGGUGGGAAUUGCUUUGGAGACUGGAUGGCUUGAGUGCGGAAGGGGUAAGUGGAAUUCCCAGUGUAGCGGUGAAAUGCGUAGAGAUUGGGAGGAACACCAGUGGCGAAGGCGACUUACUGGGCCGUAACUGACGCUGAGGCGCGAAAGCGUGGGGAGCGAACAGGAUUAGAUACCCUGGUAGUCCACGCGGUAAACGAUGAAUGCUAGGUGUUGCGGGUAUCGACCCCUGCAGUGCCGGAGUAAACACAAUAAGCAUUCCGCCUGGGGAGUACGGCCGCAAGGUUGAAACUCAAAGGAAUUGACGGGG
rnacentral:rRNA from 1 species